AUUGGGAUUCGUCAUCAGGAC
rnacentral:miRNA from 1 species